rnacentral:hammerhead_ribozyme from 1 species
GCACUUCUGAAGAGUCUCAGGAUAGGAUGAAACGGCCUUCCAGUAC